UACGGAGGGGGCUAGCGUUGUUCGGAAUUACUGGGCGUAAAGCGCGCGUAGGCGGCUUUGUAAGUUAGAGGUGAAAGCCCGGAGCUUAACUCCGGAACUGCCUUUAAGACUGCAUCGCUAGAAUCGUGGAGAGGUGAGUGGAAUUCCGAGUGUAGAGGUGAAAUUCGUAGAUAUUCGGAAGAACACCAGUGGCGAAGGCGGCGACCUGGACAGGUACUGACACUCAACUACGAAAGCGUGGGGAGCAAACAGG
rnacentral:rRNA from 1 species